rnacentral:rRNA from 1 species
GACGGAGGGUGCAAGCGUUGUUCGGAAUUACUGGGCGUAAAGGGCGCGUAGGCGGUCUGUUAAGUUCGGUGUGAAAGCCCCCGGCUCACCUGGGGAACUGCGGCGGAAACCGACAGACUCGAGUACCGGAGAGGAGGGUGGAAUUCCUGGUGUAGCGGUGAAAUGCGUAGAUAUCAGGAGGAACACCGGUGGCGAAGGCGGCCCUCUGGACGGAUACUGACGCUGAGGCGCGAAAGCGUGGGGAUCAAACAGG